rnacentral:rRNA from 1 species
UACGUAGGGGGCAAGCGUUGUCCGGAUUUAUUGGGCGUAAAGAGCGUGUAGGCGGCUAGAUAGGUCCGUUGUGAAAACUCGAGGCUCAACCUCGAGACGUCGAUGGAAACCAUCUGGCUAGAGUCCGGAAGAGGAGAGUGGAAUUCCUGGUGUAGCGGUGAAAUGCGCAGAUAUCAGGAGGAACACCGGUGGCGAAGGCGGUUCUCUGG